rnacentral:rRNA from 1 species
CUAGCCGUAAACGAUGGAUACUAGGCGUUGAGAGUAUCGACCCUCUCAGUGUCGUAGCUAACGCGUUAAGUAUCCCGCCUGGGGAGUACGCGCGCAAGCGUGAAACUCAAAGGAAUUGACGGGGGCCCGCACAAGCGGUGGAGUAUGUGGUUUAAUUCGAUGCAACGCGAAGAACCUUACCAGGGCUUGACAUGUCCGGAACCCUGCCCAAAGGCGGGGGUGCCUACGGGAACCGGAACACAGGUGGUGC